AGAACGAGCGCUGGCGGCAGGCCUAACACAUGCAAGUCGAGCGGAUCCUUCGGGAUUAGCGGCGGACGGGUGAGUAACGCGUGGGAACAUACCCUUUGGUACGGAAUAGCCUCGGGAAACUGAGAGUAAUACCGUAUGUGCCCUUCGGGGGAAAGAUUUAUCGCCAAAGGAUUGGCCCGCGUUGGAUUAGGUAGUUGGUGGGGUAAUGGCCUACCAAGCCGACGAUCCAUAGCUGGUUUGAGAGGAUGAUCAGCCACACUGGACUGAGACACGGCCCAGACUCCUACGGGAGGCAGCAGUGGGGAAUCUUAGACAAGUGGGGGCAACCCUGAUCUAGCCAUGCCGCGUGAUCGAUGAAGGCCGUUAGGGUUGUAAAGAUCUUACAGUGGGAAGAAUAAUGACGGUACCCACAAGAAGAAGCCCGGACUAACCGUCCGUCGCCGAGCCAGCCCGAC
rnacentral:rRNA from 1 species